GAUGAACGCUAGCGGCAGGCUUAAUACAUGCAAGUCGAGGGGCAGCACGGGUAGCAAUACUUGGUGGCGACCGGCGCACGGGUGCGUAACACGUAUACAACCUACCUAUAACAGGGGGAUAGCCUUUCGACAGAGAGAUUAAUACCCCGUAAUAAGUUGAAUGGCAUCAUUUGACUUUGAAAGUUCCGAUGGUUAUAGAUGGGUAUGCGUCCUAUUAGCUAGUUGGUGGUGUAAUGGACCACCAAGGCUACGAUAGGUAGGGUGUCUGAUAGGGCUAACCCCCACACUAGUACUGUGACACGGACCAGACUCCUACGGGAGGCAGCAGUAAGGAAUAUAGGACAAUGGUCGCAAGACUGAUCCAGCCAUGCCGCGUGCAGGAAGACGGCCCUAUAGGUUGUAAACUGCUUUUGUACCAGAGAAAACCUACUCACGUGUGAGUAGCUGAUAGUAUGGUAAGAAUAAACAUCGGCUAACUUCGUGCCAGCCGCCGCGGUAACAC
rnacentral:rRNA from 1 species